rnacentral:lncRNA from 1 species
GUAGGUCCGCUCGGCGUGCGCGUGACGUGGGCGCGGGCCGCGGGCCCGCGUGCGCCGCCGCCGCCGAGUGCGCACGCUCCGCGCGGACGUGACUCGGCGCCGCUGGCACUCCCGGCCUCAUUGAACGAAUGCACAUUCCAGGGAUCCGGAGUCUACGGCCAGCGCGGCCGCGUCAGCACGCAGGCUCCGCCCCCGCCGGAGACGCUGCGGCCCCGCCCCCGGGGCCAAACUUGGACUCGAGUUGUUGCUAGUGAAAAUGCCAGGUUGCUUCAAAGGAUUAACCACAAGGAAGAAGAAAAACACUCUUAGAGAUACAGUGGAGGGAGCUGCUUAAAGCACAUGAAAAAACCUGUUCGAAAAUGGCAUAGAAAACGCAAUGCCAGACCUAAGUGUUUCUGCAGGCUAGCCCUGAAUGUCUUGGGGAUUUCCAGAGAAGGUGCGCCUGCCAUAAAGGUCUCCCCAUCUGUUCCUGGAUCUCGCCCCGCAAUUGCAAUCCUGCCUCACCCUCUCCUAGCUGGGAGAAUAGCACCUGCCCAGAUCCUUACCGAGAGCAGCUGGUGUCAGUGGGUUUGGUCGCUCUUGGUCCCUGGUGUUACGCACCUCUUUCAAACCUGUUCCUCUCCAUGGAGAUCCGGUGCCACUUAUUCUAGCACGUGACUUUGCCCACCGAGCCACUGCCCAAAGGAGAUGAAGCCCAGUCUUUGUGCUACAGAGAGAGCAGCCAUCUCAACACCCCCAAGAGAUGGCCCCACUGGGCAGUGAUCGAAACAUAUUAAAAGAAAACAACUCGGUUUUUGAGCCAUGGCCUAAUUAUACUCGUUUACCUGCAAACGGGCACUGUAAACCCUCAGGGGAAAGCCUGCCACUCCAUCCUGAAGUAGAAAUACUGAAAUACAAAUUCUGCUUGAAAAGUAUUAAGUAAGGAUUUUUGUAGAACAGAGCUUUUCUUUUCCAAAAGAAGAGCAUUUCCUUUUUGUUUCACAUUACUAGUUUAAUGUUGAAACUGAGUUGUUGUAACUUCCCUAAUGAAAUGCCU